rnacentral:lncRNA from 1 species
UCAAUUCAGGCACGUGAACUCCAUCCUUUUCUGCUUCCUCUGCUUCUUUUGCUUUGGUUGCUCGUCUUUUGCUUUCUUCUCCUGUCCGCUGAAGAACACGUUAAGUUUAGUUUAGUUCGUUGAGAGCAAGCAAAGAAGUAAAACCCCCGCUGCUUAGUCCAGUCCCUCUACUAUCAUCACGACAAAGCAUUCUAGCACAUAGAUUGUCAUAGAUAAGUUACCUCCACUUAUAUGAGUUUGGUCGUUUUGUCAUCUUGCCCCGCCAACUUGCGCUCACAGCUUUAUCAGUACAGGUUCCUCGACAAGGCCGCGGUUCUAGAACCCAGCGACGACGAGAUUUACGACGAGAAUCCAAAGCCAUGGAGGCUGUGCACCGUAACACAGAUCGAAGAAGUCAAGAUGGUGCUUAGAUUACUCCCAAUCUGGGCCACCACCAUCACCUUUUACACAGUCUACGCUCAGAUGCUCACCUUCUCGGUCGUCCAAGGCUCCAAGAUGGACAGAAAGAUGGGCAGCUUCCUCUUCCCGUCAGCGUCCUCGGCAGCGUUCCUGUUCGCCACCAUCAUGGUCACAGUCACGGUCUACGAUCGCUUCAUCGUACCUCUGAUGCGAAAGCUCACGGGCCAUCCUCAAGGAAUCACGACGCUGCAGAGAAUCGGCGUGGGUCUGGUGGUGGCGAUCCUGGCGAUGGUGGUGGCUGCCAUGGUCGAGAGGCGACGAGUUAGAAUCGCGAGAGAGAACAAGCUACUCGACUCACCGGACGUGCCGGUUCCAAUGAGCGUGCUGUGGAUCCUCCCACAGUACGUGCUGGUUGGGAUAGGCGAGGCCUUCACUUACAUUGGCCAGUUGGAGUUCUUCUACCGCGAAUCGCCGG